rnacentral:lncRNA from 1 species
AGUGGUCCUUGGUUCAGGAGGUGUUGGGCAGUCUGCUCUGAUGGUUCAGUUUGUUCAGGGAAUUUUUGUUGAAAAAUAUGACCCAACGAUAGAAGAUUCCUACAGAAAGCAAGUUGAAGUCAACUGCCAACAGUGUAUGCUUAAAAUCCUAGAUACUGCAGGCACAGGGCAAUUUACAGCAAUGAGGGAUUUGUAUAUGAAGAAUGGCCAAGGUUUUGCACUAGUAUAUUCAGUCCACGUUUGACUUACAGGACCUGAGGGAACAGAUUUUACUGGUUAAGGACACAGAAGAUGUUCCAAUGAUUUUGGUUGGCAAUAAAUGUGACCUGGAAGAUGAGUGAGUAGUUGGCAAAGAACAGGGCCAGAAUUUAGCAUGACAGUGAUGGAACUGUGCCAUUUUAGAAUAAUCUGCAAAGUCAAAGGUCAAUGUUAAUGAAAUAUUUUAUGACCU